rnacentral:lncRNA from 1 species
UCUAUUUAAUUAAUAUAUAAGUUGAGACAAUAUACAAAAAAAAAUGCAAUGUACAUACUUUAAUAGUACACGAUACAAUAGAAAUUGAGAUAAAUAUAUCAUGAAUAUACAAUAGAAAUUGUGUCUAUCCUAGUUGCACUCAGGCUUUAGCUAAUCUUCCACAAACUCUAGAGUUUCCUUGUAGUUGGAGAACUGGUACAAUAUCAAGCUCGUGUUGAGCUUUUCUGCUUGUAUAUGGCACAUUAUGUGCACUAAUUACUUGGUAUUGGAUAUAAAGUCCUGACCUAUUUAAUCUCAUGCUUCAUGUGUUACCUAAAAUUNNNNNNNNNNNNNNNNNNNNNNNNNNNNNNNNNNNNNNNNNNNNNNNNNNNNNNUUGCUCACCUAAAAUCACUCUUUAAGGUCGCAGUCCCGUUGUCGAGAUGAACUAAAUAAUAAAUUUCAAGCUUGAUAUUGAAAGCUACUCCCAUAUUUCCCUUCAGCGUGUAUACACUUUAACCAAUAGAUCUUGAAAGACAUCAACAACUGUUGAACCUCGCAAUACAACAUUGUGAAAUCAAAGAGUACACACAUUAAAUUAUGGAGACUUUAAGUAACUAAAAAAUCUAAUAUGCCUCUUUGGAAUAUUGGCAGGAUCUUCCUUUAUAACCUUCGCCUAUGAAAUAAUCAUCUAUUUUGUACCCCCCCAUUGCAUUGCAUUACACUGUCCACUAUACCAUAUUUAAAAAAAUAGAAUUUAAAAUAUUUGAUCGGAUACAUCAAAUAUGGAAGUCUCCACUUUGAAUUUGGUGCCUCUGGCAGCUUGAACUUGAAGGUGUGCCAUGUGUUACCUGCAAUGAUGUGUCCAUUUACAAACAUAGUUAGCCACAACUCUCAACCUCACCAUUGAAAGUUAAAAUGUUUAUUAAAGUUAAAAGUUAAAAUGUUUAAUCAAGAAACAUACAUACAUGCUUAUUAUAGUUGCAGCCACAUGAUUAUGUGGUUAAAAAUUAUGCAGGCUGGAUCUUGGAGUUAUAACAGAACUGAAAAGUGGUUCCAAGUGCUCUUUAAUUUGUAAAAACAUUUUCAAAGUUAAUUCAAGAAUAUUACUUUCAUCAAAGAGAAUGAAACAAUGGUAACACUUUCUCAGCCCUGUCAUAAACAAUCCAGUUUAGAAUACAAUCUAAAAGGCUCAUUGACAUUAUGUAAGUGCUCACAUCCAAAUCCAUCAAAUUUCAUUCAAGCACUUUCCACAUUUUCAUUUACUGUUGCCCAAUUUAUGAUCUUUUUUUUCAUAUCAGAAAACUGAUAAUUGAAUGCCCAAUAAUUUCAAGAAACUAAAAAUUAGGUAAAUAAUCUUUUUACUUGAUAAUAGAUUAGGGAAAUCUCCGAAUAAUGUAGAGAAGUUCAAAAAACCAUUCCAGGAUCAACAAAAAUGAACUUAGAAAAGAGGACUCGCCCAUUUAAGAACCACCAAAAUCAUUACCAAAUCCUCAUUUACAAAUUAAGACAUCGGCAACUGCAACAUACAGAGCAACAUAGCAUCAAUGAGAUUGGUAGCAGAAUCAAAUCAAACAAAUAAAGAACCAUAGAAAGCUUAAUAAUCACUAUAUAAGCACUUUGGCUUUUAUGUUCCAACACUAUUUACUUGAUUGCUUGCAAAGUGAAGUCUUUCUUUUAAGUGAGGCCUUAAAUAUUCAAAGUGAAAAAAUCAUUCAUAAAUUUAUAAGAAAGCGAAAGUUAUAGAAAUAUUCAUAAACUAAAAAAUAAUAUAAGAAUUAGUUUUUGCAUCAAUCAACAUUUCAUAUAAUAUAUAUGCAUAAAUUGUGAUCCAAUGAAUCACCAAUAAAAAUCACAAUGCAACUUCGUAAAAGUAAUCAACAGUUACAACAUAACUACAUGUCUUUUCUCAAUGCAUAUUUAUCUCAUGAAUGACCAUUAACUUAAACAGAAUAAAAAAUCACAACUUUGAUUUAUAGUUAAAUAGUUAAAUUCAUAUGAAUGAAAGAUCUAUAUAAUUGAUGUACGAUAAGAAACUAAUAGAAGUUGGAAUCAGCAUGUUUCUUUCAAUGUGGUCAUGUUAUAAGUAGGUAAUUACCUUGAUUAAAAACUAUACCAUAAACAGAUUAGUGGAAAGUACACACACUUCUUUGAUAUAACUUUUUUAAGCUUGUGUAUUAAAAUAAUGAACAAAGUGAAAGCAUUAGACACUUCCAUCUGCACAUGAAUUAGAAGCAUUUCAGAGGCAAAGGUUUCAAAAUAAAUAAGGAACCAUAAAUAUAUUAUAAGCAUAAGUCUAUAACCUUACUUUUGAGAAGCAUGCAAUUCCUCAAAAUUAGGACCUCGAGCAAAUUUCUACCAAUGCAGCUGCCAAGUUUCCUGAGAGAAGAAUUCAACUAACAAAUUUAGGACCAGUAUAAGAAAGAAACACACUACUAUAAGAACUCAGCAGACCACCUCUAAAAGAAGCUUCAUGUAAAUAACAAAUCAAAAUAAGAAAAACAUAUAGUAGUUAUCAAACUCUAAUUCUAAAACAAAAAAGUAAAGCCAAAGAAAUACAAAAUUAGGGAUUAGAAAUACAAAUGAAAUAAAAUAGAUGGCUAUUAAAAAUUAGGUAUUUUGAAAAAGAAAGAGUAUACCCAGAAUCAAACAAUAACAUUGUCGUCGUUGGGCCGUGUGCUCUGCUUCAUCGAUCUUUGUCGUCGUUGGGUUUGUGAACCUGAACAAACAAUAACAUUCCCAAAAAAAAAAUUAAAAAUCAGAAUAUGAAAUUAAAUCAUGAAAUAAGGAAGGGAUUGAGAAGCAAGUUAAAAC